GGUGGUUUGGCUCAGUGGUUAGUGCUUAGAUCUCGUUACCGAAAGGUCACGGGAUCGAAUCCCGCUAGAGGCUG
rnacentral:tRNA from 1 species